UAUCGACGAAUUGGUCAAAUCAGUAGAAUGAAUAUGAUAAGACUGAAGUCCAGUCUUAUCAUUCCACAAGUGAGGCGUAGACUUUAAAACUGACCUACCAAGCUAAAUCAAGCAUUUACGCGGUCGCUACAAGUGCAGAGGGUUAGAAGCGUCGAUAUCCACCACGAAAAUGUCAGUUGCGAACGAAGCUCCGUUUGGUGUGAUGAAAACUGAAUUCACGGACAGCAAGAAGUGCGACGAUGGCUUUCAUCAUGUCGCCGUUGCGGAUAUUCCCAAGGGGGUUUUCAUAUGCAGUGUCGCCGGACCGAUCAGGUCGGACCGAACCCGCUACACAAUGCAAACAAGCGAUGAUGAGCAUACGGACCCGUUGAUUCCUCUCCGUUAUACCAAUCACUCGUGCGAGCCGACAGCGAAGAUCCUCUUCUCUUCUAAACCAUGGAGAUUAGUGGCUGUGCGUGAUAUUAAGAAAGGCGAAGACAUCACCUUUGACUAUCAUACUUUCGAAUACAAGAUGGCGGAAGGAUUUAACUGCGCAUGCGGUGCUAAGGCUUGUAGGGGGAAGGUUCAAGGCUUUUAUUAUCUGCCUGAGAGUCAGAAGAAUGAGUACGCAGAUGAUGUUUCGCCAGUCGUCAAGAAACUGUGGGAAAGUGAACAGUAAACUAAAUGGUUGUAACUUUCCGCUUGAAUUACUACGCAGAUCACCGAGAACUCUUUAUUUUAGCUUAAUUAUAUCAUUCAUGAUUUAACGACUGAAUUAAUGCUCAGUAGUAGUGAUGGUGAAUUCAAAUAAUGCUUUUAUCAUUUGGAACAAUUGGUCAAAUACAUACAGCGAACGCCAUCACACACUUGCAGGGUACCUCGGCUGUGAUUACUUUUAUGUAAAGACCGAGAGCUAAACACUAGUAUAUAGUGAAAAAAAUCGCGAAAUCACAAAAUGUACUGGACGAUACCUUUCUAAAGUGAUACGGAUAGUGUUAAGGAUCUGCUGACAAUGUUACUCAAUUGUAAAAUACCCAACAGUAAUAAUAUGAAUAUGUUUUAGUUGUAGGCCUAACUCUAAUUUGGUAAUACUGUGUCAAACCGCUUUUAACGGAUAUACAGGCUAUGAUUGUCGUCAUUUAGGGACAGCCACAACAAGAGGGCUUGGUCGCAGAUCCAAAUUUCUUAUAAAGAAAAUAAAUAAUUGUUGUUUCAGUGAUCCACA